rnacentral:rRNA from 1 species
GACAGAGGGGCAAGCGUUGCUCGGAAUUACUGGGCGUAAAGAGCGCGUAGGCGGCCAGAUAAGUCCGGUGUGAAAGUCACAGGCUCAACCUGUGAAUGCCGCUGGAAACUGUCUGGCUAGAGUCCGGAAGGGGCGAGUGGAAUUCCUGGUGUAGCGGUGAAAUGCGCAGAUAUCAGGAGGAACACCAAUGGCAAAGGCAGCUCGCUGGGGACGG